rnacentral:rRNA from 1 species
AUUGAACGCUGGCGGCAGGCCUAACACAUGCAAGUCGAACGGUAACAGGAAGAAGCUUGCUUCUUUGCUGACGAGUGGCGGACGGGUGAGUAAUGUCUGGGAAACUGCCUGAUGGAGGGGGAUAACUACUGGAAACGGUAGCUAAUACCGCAUAACGUCGCAAGACCAAAGAGGGGGACCUUCGGGCCUCUUGCCAUCGGAUGUGCCCAGAUGGGAUUAGCUAGUAGGUGGGGUAACGGCUCACCUAGGCGACGAUCCCUAGCUGGUCUGAGAGGAUGACCAGCCACACUGGAACUGAGACACGGUCCAGACUCCUACGGGAGGCGGCAGUGGGGAAUAUUGCACAAUGGGCGCAAGCCUGAUGCAGCCAUGCCGCGUGUAUGAAGAAGGCCUUCGGGUUGUAAAGUACUUUCAGCGGGGAGGAAGGGAGUAAAGUUAAUACCUUUACUCAUUGACGUUACCCGCAGAAGAAGCACCGGCUAACUCCGUG